UACGGGGGGAGCAAGCGUUGUUCGGAUUUACUGGGCGUAAAGGGCGCGUAGGCGGCCAGUGCAAGUCAGUUGUGAAAUCUCCGAGCUUAACUCGGAAAGGUCAACUGAUACUGCUCGGCUAGAGUGCGGAAGGGGCAACUGGAAUUCUUGGUGUAGCGGUGAAAUGCGUAGAUAUCAAGAGGAACACCUGCGGCGAAGGCGGGUUGCUGGGCCGACACUGACGCUGAAGCGCGAAAGCUAGGGGGAGCGAACGGG
rnacentral:rRNA from 1 species